AUCUUCCCAGACCGGGGCACGAACACGUGUCCCCUGCAUCGGCAGGCGUACUCUUAAACACUGUGCCACCAGGGAAGCCCCUGUGGCACUCUUUUAAGACCUGCAUCCCGUUGGAUGAGUCUCAGUCCUCCUAAGACUUUUACAGUAGCUUGCAGAGCAGGUGUAGUCGGUCUCUCACAAGCAGAUAUGUGGCCUGUGGUGGGCUCAGUGUUUAACAGCCAGAUGGCCUCUAAUAGUCUUGGAGAUCAUCCCCUUAAAGACCCAUCUGGAGAAAACUUCAAUGUCUCUUUCAGUAACCCAUUCAUUCUUAAUACCAACCCUGCAGCUCUGGGGUUAUACGACAGAUGAAAGGUUCAUAAAAUCUCGCAGGGUUUAGCCCGUUCUUGUAUGUCAUGUCCAGUGAAAUGGGUCCCUUGGUUGCUUUCAACGCAAGUGGGUAGUACUUUCCACUCUAAUACUUUCCAACUUGGUCAAACCCCUAAUAGUGGUUACUUGAUUUGCCCUUUUACUGGCAAAAGUCUGUGUCAGCCCAAUUGCUGGGUCCACACAGGUCAAUGCAUUCUUGUGUCCUUCUGUUAAGGGCAGGGGCCAAUAUCGUCCACUUGCCAUCUGGUCACUGGCCUAGUAGCUCAUCCGAUAUGACCAAAGGUGUGUCUCAGGGGUUGACACUGCAGGUACAAUGAUGGAAGUUCCUAUCUACUGCCUGUAGGUCACUGUAUUUUAAAGGCAGGUGUAACCUUUUGGCUUCCCAAGUGGUACUGAGGCCUCGAUGUCCUGACUUCCCAUGAAGCCACUGCCACAUCUGAGAGUCUGUGACCCUUCCAGAACAGCUGUCACCAUGGCUAAGGCAUCUGAUUCGUGAUUCUCAGGCAGUGUAGUUAGAGAAUGUGCUGAGACAUACCAUAUCAUGAUGGUGGUACCAGGUUGUGUGCACACGUCCCAGUUUGUCUGUAUCAGUUCACCACAGGGGCCAUCUCAAGAUAGUCAAGCUUUUCUGAUGCCAUUGUGGCAUCCAUGGUCAGACCCUCCUGUACAGCCCAGCUGUCUGUGGCUAUGUAGAGGGGCAUAGACUUGUGAGUGAUCACAAUCCUUACCACCCUCAGUUCAUCCAUGAUUGCUGUGCUUAGUACCUUCUUCAAACCAAGUGAUGUCAGAAUCCAGGAAAACUGUUGAAGCAUGUCUAGUGAGGGUAUUGCCUCAACUGCUGCCAUUGGUGAACCAUGGCUCCAGAGGGAGGCAUGGGGUCCUGGUUCCCUCUCUGACUUGGCUGAGAGGGGGAGUGAUGGGUGAUGUCUAAGGAGCCACGUCCGGAUCUACAUAAGACACUGGCCCAUGGAGGGCAUGUAAUUCUUCAGACAGCAGGCUUGAGUUGUACACACUACGUUGUUGCAGGAAAAACUGGAAUGAACCCAAAUGUCCAUCAACUGGUGAAUGUGAAAAUUAUGGUAUAUCCAUAAUAUGUAAUAUGGCCAUAAUAUGUAAUAAUGCAAUGUACUACUGACCAGUAAAUAUGAAUGGACUGAUGAUGAUACAGCCUGCAACAGGAUGAAUCUCAAAAUAAUCACAAUUACAACUGCUAUUUCUAUUCAAGCUGGUUGACUAACUCCCCACUCCCACCACUUCACAGAAUCCUAUUGAAAUAGCAGCAACUAAGAACAAAGGGGAACACAGUGUUACAAAUACUGCAGGGAUGGAGAGACAUGACUAGCAUACAGGAUAUUCACUUCACAAGCAGUUUUGGAAGAAAAGUCACAGAUGAGCUCAUUUUGCUUUAAAAACCACAGUGUUCUGUCUUGUUCAGCCACCUCUGGUUUAAACACUACCUUGGAAACCACGACUGUCAGUGAAGCUUCCCUAUGUAUGAGGCAAGCUUGUGAUGGAGGGGAACAAAGCAGGGAAGGUAUCUCUCAGAACUGGAUUUGGUGUAAUGUUGAUGUUUAAAAAUCCCUCUUCCCCUUCUAAUCUGUUAUGAUUACUUAGAAUUUCAGUAGCAACACUGAGAGAAAUAUACACUUUCCAUAGUGAAGUUUAUCCAAAGAGAUGUGAUGUAACUCUGAAUUUUGAGGUGGGCCCGAAAAUUCCAACAUACCGGGGUAUGUACUUUAUAUUAUUCCCUCCCCUAGAGUAUGGGUAGGACUGUGAAUAUAAUGGAUUUCAUGACUGUGAUUAUGUUUCAAAGGUGAAGGGAUUUUAAAAAUGUAAUUAAAAUCUGAAAUGAGAGGACUUUGAGUUAAUGAAAAGGGAGAUUAUCCUCACUGGGUCUGAUCUAACUAGGUGAGCUCUUAAAAGGAGUUGAGUCCUUCCUGAAGAGAGAGAUUUGAAGCAGCAGAGAUGAUUUUCUGUUGGCCUGUAAGAAACAAACUAUAGAAUUAUGGAGAAGACCCUGUGGCAAGGAAUAGCAGGCAGUCCUGUAACCUCAAGGAACUAAAUUCUACCAACUGCCAGGGAGCUAGGAAGAGGACUUGAGACUCAGAUAAGAUAAUAGCUCUGGCUGACACCUUGAUUUUAGCCCAGUCAGAUCCUGAAGUGAGGACCUAGUUAAUGUGUGUAGACUCCUGACUCAUGACAACUGAGAUCAUAAAUUUUGUUAUGUUUUUCUAAACUGUUAGAUUAUAGUAAUUUGCUAUGCAGGUAUAGAAAAUUAACACAAGAAGUAGAAAACAUCAUACAGCAUUGCUAUUACAUGAAAGCUAAUAAAGUCAAGUUUCUUUCAUAUUUCCUUUAAAUGACAAAUUACUUAUCAAGAAUAUUUUCUGUACUUUGAAAUCUUUGUGACAGCCUGCAUAGGGUGUUGUUUUCUAGUUUUGUGCAUUGAAAUUAUGAUAUAAUAUGUAACAUGCUCUGAUAUUUUGAAAGGUUUUAUUCUAAGGAUAUCUAUCAACUGAGUUAUCAGUGAAGUUAUUCUUGCAAAUAGAUUGUUUGGAGUAACAAAAGGACUAUUUGGCUUGAGUUAUGAGAUGUGGAUAGUGGGUAAAUGUGUGAUUUGGAGAAUAUCUCUAUGCCUCUGUGUCUCCAUUAGUUAAGUGACUGUACUAAGGAAGACAUUUACAACCCCUUUAUUUAAACAGCUUUAUUGAAGUAUAAUUGACACACAACAAAUUAUACAUCUAUUAAGUGUAAGUUUGAUAACUUUUUACAUACACCCAUACCAAGAUGUUGAAUAGAUCCAACACACUAAAAGUUUCCUAAUGCUCUUUUGGAAUCCCUCUUUACUACCCCACUUCAGGACCCCCAUCCUCUAAAUCCUCAGGCAAUGACUGAUUUGCUUUUGUCACUAUAGGUUAAUUAAUAAUUAUUUUUAUUGAGAUAGAAUUGUACAAUAUUAUAUGUUUCAGGUAUAUACUCCAUUUAUAAUUAUUAUAAAAUAUCGGCUAU